GAUGAACGCUAGCGAUAGGCUUAACACAUGCAAGUCGAGGGGUAACGUGUUGGAAGCUUGCUUCCGAUGACGACGACCGGCGGAUGGGUGCGUAACGCGUAUGCAACUUGCCUCACAGUGGAGAAUAACCCGGAGAAAUCCGGACUAAUACUCCAUACACUCUUAAGUACGCCUGUACAUGAGAGGAAAGAUUUAUCGCUGUGAGAUAGGCAUGCGUCCUAUUAGGUAGUUGGCGAGGUAACGGCUCACCAAGCCGACGAUAGGUAGGGGUGCUGAGAGGCAGAUCCCCCACAUUGGGACUGAGACACGGCCCAAACUCCUACGGGAGGCAGCAGUGAGGAAUAUUGGUCAAUGGAGGAAACUCUGAACCAGCCAAGUCGCGUGAAGGAAGAAUGUCCUAAGGAUUGUAAACUUCUUUAGCGAGCGAGUAAGGACUUCCACGUGAUGGGAGUUUGAAAGUAGCUCGAGAAUAAGUAUCGGCUAACUCCGUG
rnacentral:rRNA from 1 species